rnacentral:rRNA from 1 species
GAUUCCUACGGGAGGCAGCAGUAGGGAAUCUUCGGCAAUGGGCGAAAGCCUGACCGAGCAACGCCGCGUGAAUGAAGAAGGCCUUCGGGUUGUAAAAUUCUGUUAUAAGGGAAGAAAGGUGAUAGGAGGAAAUGACUAUCAAUUGACGGUACCUGAGUAAGAAGCACCGGCUAAAUACGUGCCAGCAGCCGCGGUAAUACGUAUGGUGCAAGCGUUAUCCGGAUUUACUGGGUGUAAAGGGAGCGCAGGCGGUGCGGCAAGUCUGAUGUGAAAGCCCGGGGCUCAACCCCGGGACUGCAUUGGAA